GGGCCCGCACAAGCGGUGGAGUAUGUGGUUUAAUUCGAUGCAACGCGAAGAACCUUACCAGGGUUUGACAUCCUGCGAAUCUCUUGGAAACGAGAGAGUGCCUUCGGGAACGCAGUGACAGGUGGUGCAUGGCUGUCGUCAGCUCGUGUCGUGAGAUGUUGGGUUAAGUCCCGCAACGAGCGCAACCCACGUCGUUAGUUGCCAGCAUUUAGUUGGGCACUCUAGCGAGACCGCCGGUGAUAAACCGGAGGAAGGUGUGGAUGACGUCAAGUCAUCAUGCCCCUUACAUCCUGGGCUACACACGUACUACAAUGGCUAAGACAAAGAGUUGCGAACUUGUGAAAGUCAGCUAA
rnacentral:rRNA from 1 species